rnacentral:rRNA from 1 species
UACGUAGGGGGCAAGCGUUGUCCGGAUUUAUUGGGCGUAAAGAGCGUGUAGGCGGCUUUACAGGUCCGUUGUGAAAACUCGAGGCUCAACCUCGAGACGCCGGUGGAAACCGUAAAGCUAGAGUCCGGAAGAGGAGAGUGGAAUUCCUAGUGUAGCGGUGAAAUGCGCAGAUAUCAGGAAGAACACCCGUGGCGAAGGCGGCUCUCUGGGACGGUACUGACGCUGAGACGCGAAAGCGUGGGGAGCGAACAGG